rnacentral:rRNA from 1 species
UACGUAGGUGGCAAGCGUUGUCCGGAAUUAUUGGGCGUAAAGGGCGCGUAGGCGGAUCUGUAAGUCAGAGGUGAAAUCCUGCGGCUUAACCGUAGAACUGCCUUUGAUACUGCAGAUCUUGAGUUCGAAAGAGAGUAGCGGAAUUCCAGGUGUAGUGGUGAAAUACGUAGAUAUCUGGAAGAACACCAGUGGCGAAGGCGGCUACUUGGUUCGCAACUGACGCUGAGGCGCGAAAGCGUGGGGAGCAAACAGG